AACUCUGGGGGGAUUUAAGCGAGAUUCAGUUUUGGCUGUGGCUCCGUGGCUAUCGGCAAGCGGUUAGAUGCUUACCGUAUAUGAUCGCAUAUAGUCGCAGCAGGCGAUGCACCAGCCUUAUUUUUGCAGAAUAGAUGGAAUUCCUUCGCCGUGAAAGACGACGUGAUGCAGUGAAAACCUAGUUCCCCAGAAGCUGGUGGAUAAGGAUGCUGUGACUCUGGGGGAAUCUGGUGGCUGGCAGCCCUCUUUCAGAGACACACAGCUUAGAAAUUCCCAGAGUCCUGUAGCUGCGCUGGAGAGCAUCAACCCCUCCCCAGAUAUUGGAAGUAUUCACAGUACCCAACCCACAGGUUCAAGGACACAGAGAAUGGAUUCUGAAGCAGAACAUUCAAACCCACCAGCAUCAACCAGGAGCUGAUGUAAUAGGUCAUAAUACCUGAGAACAGUUGGAUUUGAUUAGUUCCACUGAUGGUGAAGCUC
rnacentral:lncRNA from 1 species